rnacentral:rRNA from 1 species
CCUACGGGAGGCAGCAGUGGGGAAUAUUGCACAAUGGGGGAAACCCUGAUGCAGCGACGCCGCGUGAGUGAAGAAGUAAUUCGUUAUGUAAAGCUCUAUCAGCAGGGAAGAAAAUGACGGUACCUGAGUAAGAAGCCCCGGCUAACUACGUGCCAGCAGCCGCGGUAAUACGUAGGGGGCAAGCGUUAUCCGGAUUUACUGGGUGUAAAGGGAGCGUAGACGGCAGUGCAAGUCUGGAGUGAAAGGCGGGGGCUCAACCCCCGGACUGCUCUGGAAACUGUACGGCUGGAGGGCAGGAGAGGUAAGGGGAAGCACUGGUGGAGGGGUGAAAUGGGUAGAUAUUAGGAGGAAAACGAGUGGAGAGGGCGGUUUACUGGACUGUAACUGACGUUGAGGCUCGAAAGGGUGGGGAGAAAACAGGAUGAGAUACCCUUGGAGGC